rnacentral:rRNA from 1 species
GACGAAGGAUCCAAGCGUUAUCCGGAUUUAUUGGGUUUAAAGGGUGCGUAGGCGGAUUGAUAAGUCAGUGGUGAAAGCCUGCAGCUUAACUGCAGAACUGCCAUUGAUACUGUCAAUCUUGAAUAUGGUUGAUGUGGGCGGAAUAUGACAUGUAGCGGUGAAAUGCUUAGAUAUGUCAUAGAACACCGAUUGCGAAGGCAGCUCACAAAAGCCAUUAUUGACGCUGAGGCACGAAAAGCGUGGGGGAUCAAAACAGG